rnacentral:rRNA from 1 species
AUACGUAGGGUACUAGCGUUGUCCGGAUUUAUUGGGCGUAAAGGGCUUGUAGGUGGUUUGUCGCGUCUGUCGUGAAAUCCUGUGGCUUAACCAUGGGCUUGCGGUGGGUACGGGCAGGCUUGAGUGCGGUAGGGGAGACUGGAAUUCCUGGUGUAGCGGUGGAAUGCGCAGAUAUCAGGAGGAACACCGGUGGCGAAGGCGGGUCUCUGGGCCGUUACUGACGCUGAGGAGCGAAAGCGUGGGGAGCGAACAGGAUUAGAUACCCUGGUAGUCCAUGCUGUAAACGUUGGGCACUAGGUGUGGGGACCUUGUGGUUUCUGCGCCGUAGCUAACGCAUUAAGUGUCCCGCCUGGGGAGUACGGCCGCAAGGCUAAA